GAUGAACGCUGGCGGCGUGCCUAAUACAUGCAAGUCGAGCGAACGGACGAGAAGCUUGCUUCUCUGACGUUAGCGGCGGACGGGUGAGUAACACGUGGAUAACCUACCUAUAAGACUGGGAUAACUUCGGGAAACCGGAGCUAAUACCGGAUAAUAUUUUGAACCGCAUGGUUCAAUAGUGAAAGACGGUCUUGCUGUCACUUAUAGAUGGAUCCGCGCUGCAUUAGCUAGUUGGUAAGGUAACGGCUUACCAAGGCAACGAUGCAUAGCCGACCUGAGAGGGUGAUCGGCCACACUGGAACUGAGACACGGUCCAGACUCCUACGGGAGGCAGCAGUAGGGAAUCUUCCGCAAUGGGCGAAAGCCUGACGGAGCAACGCCGCGUGAGUGAUGAAGGUCUUCGGAUCGUAAAACUCUGUUAUUAGGGAAGAACAUAUGUGUAAGUAACUGUGCACGUCUUGACGGUACCUAAUCAGAAAGCCACGGCUAACUACGUG
rnacentral:rRNA from 1 species